rnacentral:rRNA from 1 species
AUCCCAGAGAUGGAUGGGUUCCUCGGGGACGCAGUGACAGGUGCUGCAUGGCUGUCGUCAGCUCGUGUCGUGAGAUGUUCGGUUAAGUCCGGCAACGAGCGCAACCCACAUCUUUAGUUGCCAGCAUUCAGUUGGGCACUCUAAAGAAACUGCCCGUGAUAAGCGGGAGGAAGGUGUGGAUGACGUCAAGUCCUCAUGGCCUUACGGGUUGGGCUACACACGUGCUACAAUGGUAGUGACAAUGGGUUAAUCCCCAAAAACUAUCUCAGUUCGGAUUGUCGUCUGCAACUCGACGGCAUGAAGUCGGAAUCGCUAGUAAUCGCGUAACAGCAUGACGCGGUGAAUACGUUCCCGGGCCUUGUACACACCGCCCGUCACACCAUGGGAGUUGGGUUUACCCGAAGGCCGUGCGCCAACCUUUCGAGGGGGCAGCGGACCACGGUGAGCUCAGCGACUGGGGUG